AACGAACGCUGGCGGCAGGCUUAACACAUGCAAGUCGAACGGGUGCAGCAAUGCAUCAGUGGCAGACGGGUGAGUAACACGUGGGAACCUUCCUAGAGGUACGGAACAACUCAGGGAAACUUGAGCUAAUACCGUAUACGCUCUUGCGAGGAAAGAUUUAUCGCCUUUAGACGGGCCCGCGUCGGAUUAGCUAGUUGGUGGGGUAACGGCCUACCAAGGCGACGAUCCGUAGCUGAUCUGAGAGGAUGAUCAGCCACACUGGGACUGAGACACGGCCCAGACUCCUACGGGAGGCAGCAGUGGGGAAUCUUGGACAAUGGGCGCAAGCCUGAUCCAGCCAUGCCGCGUGAGUGAAGAAGGCCUUCGGGUUGUAAAGCUCUUUUGUCAGGGACGAUAAUGACGGUACCUGAAGAAUAAGCCCCGGCAAACUUCGUGCCAGCAGCCGCCGCCG
rnacentral:rRNA from 1 species